rnacentral:rRNA from 2 species
UGGGGAAUAUUGCACAAUGGGGGAAACCCUGAUGCAGCGACGCCGCGUGAACGAAGAAGGUAUUCGUAUCGUAAAGUUCUGUCCUAUGGGAAGAUAAUGACAGUACCAUAGAAGAAAGCUCCGGCUAAAUACGUGCCAGCAGCCGCGGUAAUACGUAUGGAGCGAGCGUUGUCCGGAAUUAUUGGGCGUAAAGGGUACGCAGGCGGUUUAAUAAGUCGAAUGUUAAAGAUCGGGGCUCAACCCCGUAAAGCAUUGGAAACUGAUAAACUUGAGUAGUGGAGAGGAAAGUGGAAUUCCUAGUGUAGUGGUGAAAUACGUAGAUAUUAGGAGGAAUACCAGUAGCGAAGGCGACUUUCUGGACACAAACUGACGAUGAGGUACGAAAGCGUGGGGAGCAAACAGG